rnacentral:rRNA from 1 species
GACGAACGCUGGCGGCGUGCUUAACACAUGCAAGUCACGGGGGCCCGCAAGGGCAACCGGCGAACGGGUGCGUAACACGUGAACAACCUGCCCUCGUGUGGGGGAUAGCCAUGCUAACGCGUGGGUAAUACCGCAUACGUUCUCUGAAGGGAGUCCUUUGGAGAGGAAAGCUCCGGCGCACGGGGAGGGGUUCGCGGCCUAUCAGCUAGUUGGCGGGGUAAUGGCCCACCAAGGCGACGACGGGUAGCNGGUCUGAGAGGAUGGCCAGCCACAUUGGGACUGAGAGACGGCCCAGACUCCUACGGGAGGCAGCAGUGGGGAAUCUUGCGCAAUGGCCGAAAGGCUGACGCAGCGACGCCGCGUGUGGGAUGAAGCAUUUCGGUGUGUAAACCACUGUUGCCCGGGACGAACAGCCUUUUUCGAGAGGUCUGACGGUACCGGGUGAGGAAGCACCGGCUAACUCCGUGCCAGCCGCCGCGGUAACACCUGAGACUACCAAGGCACAC